GUGAUCAUUGGGGCGCUGUACCUGCUGAAAUUGCCGUCUGUCCUGUGGCAUCUGACAGCUAUUAGACUGAUGAGGCUGAGCAGAAAGAUGACUGACACCGCCACAAUGGCGAUGAGCAGAUAGAGGUUCAAAUCAGAGAAACUGUCCUCCUUUAUGGGCACAUGUCUGAACUGAGUGUGGAUGUCAGCGGUGCUUUCAACAACCACCACCUCAAUAGACACAGUAGCUGACAGGGAGGGUUCUCCGUUAUCAGAGACCAGCACCACCAAGGGGUGAGUUUUGAGGUCAUUGUCACUCAUUCUCCUCUUAGUUCUGAUUUCCCCGGUGCUGGUUCCGAUCCUGAACAGGUUGUUUCCUUUUGGCUCAGACAGGUGGUAAGUCAAGAGUGCAUUGUAUCCAGAGUCUGCAUCUACAGCCCUGAUCUUUGCCACAAAGUAUCCUGCUUCAGCAGAAUAUGGGAUGCUCUCACUG